AAAGUGCUGGGAUUAUAGGGGUUAGCCACCGCACCCGACCUUUAAUAAACAUUUUAAUAGACUACAACAGACCCACAGAAAAGACACAUCACAAAGUGAACACCCACAGGGAGAAGCAAUAGGACUGUCAGAGCGAUUCCAUUUUGAAUGAGGGCUAGGAAAAUGAGGCUGGGCUGCAUUCCCAGAAAAGUAGGUAUUCCUAACCUCUAGAUGUUUACGGUUAAGGGAACAAAUUAAUAAUUGUUACUAAAACACACCCAGACUUGGGAGUGUCCAGAUAUCCCGGCAUCUAGAGAACAAAGGCAUUCCUAAUUUUGCUUUAAAAAUAAUAUCGAUUCUUGAAAAAUACAGUAAGAAAAUUAAUCCUUUUUCACAAAACCUUGUAGCAGAGCACAUCUCCCCAAAAUCUAUUUUUAGCCUAAAUAUAUACAAGCAUUGUACCUAGGGUGUAUACGUUCCUCUUACUUUCAGGAACGUCCUACUGUCUAAGGGGUAGCUGUUUCACAACUUUACUUUCUUAACAAACUUGCUUUUACUUUGCACUGCGGACUCGCCCUGAAUUUUGUCUUGCGCGAGAUCCAAGAACCCUCCCUUGGGGUCUGAAUCGGACCCCUUUCCUGUAACACGACCACCGCUCCGAGCCUCCCCGCUUCCAGCCGCUACGCCCAAAGUCUUUUAUAUGAACAAACCCCUAACUCGUCCUGUGACUUUGAUGCGUGUGCCUUUUAGGCACCGGGGAGCAGAGGGUAAAGCGGAGCAGCCCCGGGCCUCCUCCCGCGCAAGUUCACGGGAAGAGCAGGUCCGGCCCACGCAGACGUGCACGGCCCCCAGCAAUUAGGAGGAGCGGACGGUCCCCACCCCCACAAUCAGCCGUCUCUCGGGGUCCGCCCGCGCUCCCUGCCCACGAGUGAGGCCUCCGGUUGCCCGCACCCUAAGGGGCAUCGCAGCCCGGAGCAACACCGCCCCCACCAGCCUUAGCUGAGCGCUCCCAUUGGCCAGAGGCCAGCGGGUGGAGGCUCCCAUUGGCCAUCGGCCAUAAUGCUUCCAUUGGUCGGAGGCCAGGCCAGCGGAGACUCCCAUUGGCCGAGAGCUGUGGUUCGCCGCACGGCCUACUGGGAGUUGUAGUCGCCGCGUCGCCGGUGAGGCCGCCAUUGUCCGGCGUUCGGCGAGUCGGGUGGUCCCUUUGACUGGAGUGCCUCUCUGGUCCUGGAAUCACCUCAGGCGCUGUCCUUCACUGGGCGAUCCAGCAUGGACCCCGAGGACGAAUGGGCAGCGGGAGUGAUGUCUGUGGGGCCGCCGGCGGCCCGGCUUCAGGAACCAGUGACCUUCCGGGAUGUGGCUGUGGACUUUACCCAGGAGGAAUGGGGGCAGCUGGACCCUACCCAGAGGAUCCUCUACCGUGAUGUGAUGCUGGAGACCUUUGGGCACCUGCUCUCCGUAGGUCCUGAGCUUCCGAAGCCUGAAGUCAUCUCCCAGCUGGAGCAAGGGACCGAGCUAUGGGUGGCUGAGAGAGGAACCACCCAGGGCUGCCAUCCAGGCUGGGAGCCUCGAUCUGAAAGCCAAGCAUCACGCAAGGAAGAGGGCCUUCCUGAAGAGGAGCCAUGCCACGUCACGGGAAGGGAAGGGUUCCCGACAGAUGCUCCUUAUCCCACCACGUUAGGGAAAGACAGGGAGCGUCAGAGCCAGGGUCUGGCACUCAAGGAGCAGGAAAACUUGAAGCAGUUGGAAUUUGGCCUCAAGGAAGCACCAGUUCAAGAUCAAGGCUACAAAACUCUCCGACUCGGGGAAAACGGCGUCCUGAGUUCAAGCCCAAAUCCAUUCCCAGAGAUCUCUAGAGGGGAGUAUUUGUAUACUUACGACUCACAAAUUACAGACUCAGAACAUAACUCCAGCUUAGUCAAUCAGCAGACAGGCUCCCCAGGAAAACAGCCCAGUGAAAACAGUGACUGUCGCAGAGCUUCCAGUCAGGCCAUUCCAGUUACGGAACUCACAAAAAGCCAGGUGCAGGACAAACCCUACAAAUGUACUGACUGUGGGAAGUCGUUUAACCAUAACGCACACCUCACCGUGCACAAGAGGAUUCAUACGGGAGAAAGACCUUAUAUGUGCAAGGAGUGUGGGAAAGCCUUCAGCCAGAACUCCUCCCUCGUCCAGCACGAGCGCAUCCACACUGGAGACAAGCCCUACAAGUGUGCCGAAUGUGGGAAGUCCUUCUGCCAUAGUACACACCUUACCGUCCAUCGGAGGAUUCACACCGGGGAGAAGCCCUACGAGUGUCAGGACUGUGGGAGGGCCUUCAACCAGAACUCCUCCCUGGGGCGGCACAAGAGGACACACACUGGGGAGAAGCCAUACACCUGCAGCGUGUGUGGGAAAUCCUUCUCUCGGACCACUUGCCUUUUCCUGCACCUGAGAACUCACACCGAGGAGAGGCCCUACGAGUGUAACCACUGCGGGAAGGGCUUCAGGCACAGCUCAUCCCUGGCCCAGCACCAGCGGAAGCACGCAGGGGAGAAGCCCUUUGAGUGCCGCCAGAGGCUGAUCUUUGAGCAGACGCCAGCUCUCACAAAGCAUGAAUGGACAGAAGCCCUGGGCUGUGACCCACCUUUGAGUCAAGAUGAGAGGACUCACCGGAGCGACAGACCCUUCAAAUGUAAUCAGUGUGGGAAGUGUUUCAUUCAGAGCUCUCACCUCAUCCGGCACCAGAUAACUCACACCAGAGAGGAGCAGCCCCAUGGGCGAAGCCGGCGGCAUGAACAAUCUUCGAGCAGGAACUCCCACCUGGUUCAGCACCAACACUCGAACUCCAGAAAGAGCUCUGCAGGCAGAGCAAAGGCAGGGCAGCCAGAAAGCAGAGCCCUGGCUUUGUUUGACAUCCAAAAAAUCAUGCAAGAGAAAAACCCUGUGCACGUUAUUGGGGUGGAAGAGCCUUCUGUGGGUGCUUCCAUGUUAUUUGACAUCAGAGAAUCCACAUAGGAGAGAAACUUUGCUGAUGACUUUUAACCACAAGUAAAAAAUGUGAACCGACAGGUUCUGACGACCCGCAGCUCCCACGCUCCGCUUCCGGCCCCGCAGCGUUGUGAACUCCAUUUCCCAGAAGGCCUUGUAUCCCUUGCAUGGCCGUUUCCAGGCAGGAAGGCGAAGGGCCUUCUGGGAGAUGAGGUCCUGGGCGGCCGCUGGCCACCAGGCGGAAGUGCGUACCGGAAGUGCCGGCGGCAGUGUGUAAGACGAGGCCGGACGCGCGGACUAUCGGGCGGCCAGGCUUUCUGAGGAGGCUGCCGCAGUGAAGCAACCGUGACAAGUGGUGCCCGACCAGGGACCUGAACCAGGAAGGUCUGCCGGAGCAGAGAAAGUGAAACUGAUCAGACGAACUACGAACCCCUGGACUGGAGAGUCGGCCGGCGGAGAAUAUAAGGCAAUGGACAAACCGUGUGGGUGCCCUCCAGGUGUGUGUGACCACGGAACGGGAGACCGGAGGGAUCCAUGGUAUUCAACCAUGGGCUUGUUACCUCCAGUACGAGCCAUGAGCCAGCGGAAUCUGAAUGCGAAGACAGAACAAGGGCCGACCGGAGUCACAAUGACAUCCAACCCCAUAACAUGGGGACAGAUCAAGAAAACCACACAGGAAGCUGAGAAACUGCUGGAGCGCCAGGGUCAGGCAAAAACCCCUGACUCCAUGUUCUUGGCCAUGCUAGCUGUAGUGUCCUGUGCGUCUAUAGGAUCGGGUGAACCACCAACCGGCAAUUGAAAGCUGCACAGCCUGAAAUUACCUUUAUUCAAUUAAUGCAAAAACAAAAAGGGGGAGAUGUUGGAGGCGGAAGGAAUGAGGGUCGUGACCAACUUUAUACCACUGGAGGCUCUAUGAGCAAACAGCAAACUGUUCUCAUGAAAGCAGGAUGUUGGCAAACUGACAAACUGUGUUUGCCUCCAGAAGGAAUGCUGGGGGCAGUCAUGUCCCAGGUCCCGUGCUCCUUGAGGUUAUCUACAGGAACAUCUAGAACUUGUUGAACAAAGAAAGGAAUCAUGUGGGCCUGUGUUAAAUAGCUGACCGACAGUUAUCCCUUCCUCCCUAUUCAUUCUACCUAAUAAAUACGAAGGGCUGUAAAAGCUCAGGGCCCUUGUUCCCUAGAAUCAAGGAGUCCCCUGACCCCUUCUUUCAAAC